GACGAACGCUGGCGGCGUGCUUAACACAUGCAAGUCGAACGGAAAGGCCCUGCUUUUGUGUGGUGCUCGAGUGGCGAACGGGUGAGUAACACGUGAGUAACCUUCCCUUGACUUUGGGAUAACUUCAGGAAACUGGGGCUAAUACCGGAUAGGAGCUCCUGCUGCAUGGUGGGGGUUGGAACGUUUCGGCGGUUGGGGAUGGACUCGCGGCUUAUCAGCUUGUUGGUGGAGUAGUGGCUUACCAAGGCUUUGACGGGUAGCCGGCCUGAGAGGGUGACCGGCCACAUUGGGACUGAGAUACGGCACAGACUCCUACGGGAGGCAGCAGUGGGGAAUAUUGCACAAUGGGCGGAAGCCUGAUGCAGCAACGCCGCGUGCGGGAUGACGGCCUUCGGGUUGUAAACCGCUUUCGCCUGUGACGAAGCGUGAGUGACGGUAAUGGGUAAAGAAGCACCGGAUAACUACGUG
rnacentral:rRNA from 1 species